rnacentral:tRNA from 1 species
GCCAGUUUCGCUUAGUGGUAAAGCAGUUGACUCGUAAUCAAUAGCCACGGGUUCGAUUCCCGUAAUUGGCACCA